rnacentral:rRNA from 1 species
AUUGAACGCUGGCGGCAUGCCUUACACAUGCAAGUCGAACGGUAUCAGGUCUUCGGAUGCUGAUGAGUGGCGAACGGGUGAGUAAUACAUCGGAACGUGCCUAGUAGUGGGGGAUAACUACUCGAAAGAGUGGCUAAUACCGCAUGAGAUCUACGGAUGAAAGCAGGGGAUCGCAAGGCCUUGUGCUACUAGAGCGGCCGAUGGCAGAUUAGGUAGUUGGUGGGAUAAAAGCUUACCAAGCCGACGAUCUGUAGCUGGUCUGAGAGGGCGAUCAGCCACACUGGGACUGAGACACGGCCCAGACUCCUACGGGAGGCAGCAGUGGGGAAUUUUGGACAAUGGGCGCAAGCCUGAUCCAGCCAUGCCGCGUGCGGGAAGAAGGCCUUCGGGUUGUAAACCGCUUUUGUCAGGGAAGAAACGCUCUGAGUUAAUACCUCGGGGUAAUGACGGUACCUGAAGAAUAAGCACCGGCUAACUACGUGCCAGCCGCCGCCGUAAAAC